GUUUUUUUAGUAUAUAAGUAUGAUUGACUUCCAAUCAAUUGGUUUAAGUAUCUCUUAAAAAAAAUA
rnacentral:tRNA from 1 species